GAAAUGCGAUAAGUAAUGUGAAUUGCAGAAUUCAGUGAAUCAUCGAAUCUUUGAACGCACAUUGCGCCCGCCAGUAUUCUGGCGGGCAUGCCUGUCCGAGCGUCAUUUCAACCAUCAAGCCCCCGGGCUUGUGUUGGGGACCUGCGGCUGCCCGCAGGCCCUGAAAACCAGUGGCGGGCUCGCUGUCACACCGAGCGUAGUAGCAAUCACCUCGCUCAGGGCGUGCUGCAGGUUCCGGCCGUUAAACAGCCUUACAAAACCCAAGGUUGACCUCGGAUCAGGUAGGAAGACCCGCUGAACUUAAGC
rnacentral:misc_RNA from 1 species